ensembl:lncRNA
AUGACAUUAACACACCUUUUUUCCAUUCUCUCUCCCUUUUUCAUAUAUGCACACACUCAGGAAGGCCCUCGUUGUUUCAUGCGGGCGUUCAUGGCUCCUAUUUCCUGGAUGACCAUCGUGCAGAAUGGAACAGACCUCAACAAAGAAGAUCUGACAAAGCUUUUAUGGGUGGCUAAACCCUUCGUAGAAACAAUGCCUCCAUCUAGCUUUGUGUUGCCUGUGUUUUCACAAAGCUCUCAACUGGUUAAAAUGAUGAAGGUGUUUGGUGAGGUGUUCAGCGUUCUGUCUGAGGAACAGAGGAAUGCGAUUAUAGUGUGGGUCAAAGAGAGAGUUGCACAAAAUGAAUUUAAAUGCGUCCUGAAAGCACCUGCGUUCAGCAUCCUGCCUUCUGGAUCAUUGAAAAAAAUCCAAAAUGUAACAUCAGUGAAGGCAAUGAUGAACGUGAUGAGUAUACCAGGAGCUGAAGGGACUCAACAUUCAAUGAUUAAUGGUGAAUCAGAAGGAGACCUAAAAAACAUAUAUAUAUAUAUUCUUUUUUCGUUUGUUUUGUUUGUACACUUAAAAAACAUUUCAUUAUAG